AAAAGUUUAAUUUUAGCUUAGUUAUUUGCUUAAUCUUUAUUUUUUAUGUGAGUUUUUGCUUUAUGGUUUUAGAUAGGAAUUUAUUUAUUAGCAGUGAUUAGUUUUAGUGAAUUUAGUAACCUAAGAUUUAGGAAUAGAUUUAUGUUCUAACUUAACUUGUGCCAGCAGUUGCGGUUAUACAAGUAGGACUUGUAAAUAUUUUUGGUUAGUAGUUAAAAUUUAAUUUAUUUAAAGUGAAUUAUUAUUAUUAUUAGGUGAAAUUUUUAUAUUAAUUUUUUCUUUAUAUUUUAAGCUAUUAAACUUGGUUUUAGACUAGGAUUAGAUACCCUAUUAUUGUUUAGUGUAAAUUGUAAUACCAGGUUAGUGUUAGUUAUGUUCUUUAAAACAAAAGGAUUUGGCGGUAUUUUAGUCUUUUCAGAGGAACCUGCCCUGUAAUUGAUAGUCCACGAUUAGUUUUACUUGUAUUUGGCUUGUAUAUCGUCGUGGUUGAUUUUUUUAGAAAAAAUUUAAUAGUCAAAAUUCUUUAUUAGGAAGGAAGUCAGAUCAAGAUGCAGCGUAUAUAAGUAGAGGUGGGUUACAUUAAAUUUAUUUAAAUGGUUGAGAUUUUUUAAAGGUCUUAUAAAGUGGAUUUGAAAGUAAAUUUUUACUUUUUUGGAAGUUGAGUUAGCUCUAAAAUAUGUACAUAUCGCCCGUCACUUCCAUAAAAAUGGAAUAAGUCGUAACAAAGUAGAUGUACUGGAAAGUGUAUCUAGAAAGACA
rnacentral:ncRNA from 1 species